AGAGGGGGCAAGCGUUAUUCGGAAUUAUUGGGCGUAAAGGGCGCGUAGGCGGCUUUUUAAGUCAGAUGUGUAAUCCCCGAGCUCAACUUGGGAACUGCAUCUGAGACUGGAAGGCUAGAGUGCUGGAGAGGGUGGUGGAAUUCCUCGUGUAGCGGUGAAAUGCGUAGAGAUGAGGAGGAACACCAGUGGCGAAGGCGGCCACCUGGACAGUAACUGACGCUGAGGCGCGAAAGUGUGGGUAACAAACAGGAUUAGAUACCCUGGUAGUCCACACUGUAAACGAUGAACACUUGGUGUGUCGGGAGUUGACCCCCGACGUGCCGGAGCUAACGCGUUAAGUGUUCCGCCUGGGGAGUACGGUCGCAAGGCUG
rnacentral:rRNA from 1 species